rnacentral:tRNA from 1 species
CAGAAGGUAAUUUAAUUGAGAAAUGUUGGUUUUGGGGACCGACAUGGGGACACCCCCAAGGGGG